UCUCUCAGUCAGAAACAGAAAGUUUCUCCUAGCAUUAAGGACAGAAAAUGAUGUACACAUCAUUUCAGUGGUAGCUUACAGAACUCAGUAAAGAAUAGUGUACUGGACUACUGGUACUUUGCAUAGAUAUUGUACUUUGUCUCUCAAGACAGCCCCUCCCCUUUUGACAUUUGGACUACACUGUACUGACUACAUGCUACCGUCAAACCUCUGCUUUCUUCUCUCUCUCUCUCCAGUUAUAAAAUGAUGUGUUCUUAAUGAUGAUUGUAA